CAGUAAAAUUGUCGGUUCACUGAAAUUUAACAUUCAAAAUAGUAUUAUUGUCGUGUAUAAAUUGAUAAUAUCGCUCCCGAGUUUUUGCGCUUCAAAUUAUUUCCACGAAGACAGUUUUGGAGUUUGCUGUACAAAACACACCAUUGCUGAAAACGCGAAAGUCAAACCACUCAAAACUAUUAUUUCUAUCGGUACGAAGGUCGGGCCGAUUACACUAUCACGCCGCUUAAUAAUUAGGUCCGCUCGCAGUGGACAAGGUGGUAGUUUGAUAUAUUUUGAUAUAUCAAACUACCCUGUGAAGAUGAAUAAAUUGAAAAAUUUUGUUAAAUGCGCAAAAGCUAAUAGCAAAAAUAUAAAUAAAUGCAAAUAUGCUUAAAACAACUAACUGAUUGUUAUAAUCAAAAAGAUUUAUAGCAUGUUUGAAUCACCUCAGUAAUACAAUCAACUGUAGUUAAUAUUUAUAGUAUUACUGCAGUAGAAUACAGAUUUUUAAAAUCCGCUGCACACGAUAAAUAACCAACAGCGAAAGGAUUUGAAGCUUCGUUACUACACUUCUGACAUUCAUAAAAUGGCAUUUGUACUGCCUGGGUUUGUCAAAGACGCUUUGGACGAUACCGCCGAAAAUGAUUUGUAAUAAAUAUGAUGUAUCGUCUUUUGUUUAUCCGUAUCACAUAUUGUAUAUAUUCAUUUUCGUCGGUCAUACUUAAUUCACAGAUAUAGCCGAUAUACCUAGGUAAUGUAUAUUUGAACGUACAACUUGAAAAAUACUGCAUCAUAUACGAGUAUAUAGAUAUUUAUUCAUUAUAAUAAUAUAUAAAUAUUUAAAAUGGUGGACAAGUGGCAAAAUGACAAGUAAAAACUAAAAAAGUUAACGUUUAAGUUACACGCUGUUUUCGUUAAGAAUCGCUUUUCAUCGUUGUUUAACACAUCCGUUGCAGUUUGACACCUAUAGGUAACUGAUAAUUUCCUAAAUAGUUUAAUUUUUAUAUUUUUACAAUGCUAUUAUUUAAAUGUAAUACAUUUUUCAUUGACAUUUUUACCACAAAACUAUUUCAGCUUGACAAUUUAUUAUAUUAUACCUAACUUGGUACAUUUUUACAACUGUAUAUAAAUAUAUAAAAAAAGAAAACCAUUUAAUAUUACUUAACUACAACUACUAUUUUUUUU